rnacentral:rRNA from 1 species
AUUGAACGCUGGCGGCAUGCCUUACACAUGCAAGUCGAACGGUAACAGGUCUUCGGACGCUGACGAGUGGCGAACGGGUGAGUAAUGCAUCGGAACGUGCCCAGUCGUGGGGGAUAACUGCUCGAAAGAGCAGCUAAUACCGCGUACGACCUGAGGGUGAAAGCGGGGGACCGUACGGCCUCGCGCGAUUGGAGCGGCCGAUGUCAGAUUAGCUAGUUGGUGGGGUAAAGGCCUACCAAGGCAACGAUCUGUAGUUGGUCUGAGAGGACGACCAGCCACACUGGGACUGAGACACGGCCCAGACUCCUACGGGAGGCAGCAGUGGGGAAUUUUGGACAAUGGGCGCAAGCCUGAUCCAGCAAUGCCGCGUGCAGGAAGAAGGCCUUCGGGUUGUAAACUGCUUUUGUCAGGGAAGAAAUCUUCUGGGCUAAUACCCCGGGAGGAUGACGGUACCUGAAGAAUAAGCACCGGCUAACUACGUGCCAGCAGCCGCGGUAAGAC